GCUUGUCUCAAAGAUUAAGCCAUGCAUGUCUAAGUAUAAACAAAUCUAUACUGUGAAACUGCGAAUGGCUCAUUAUAUCAGUUAUAGUUUAUUUGAUGGUUCUUGCUACUUGGAUAACCGUAGUAAUUCUAGAGCUAAUACAUGCAUCAAACCCCGACUUCUGGAAGGGGUGUAUUUAUUAGAUGGAAACCAAUGCGGGGCAACCCGGUAUAAGGUGAUUCAUAAUAACUUUGCGAAUCGCAUGGCCUUGCGCCGGCGAUGAAUCAUUCAAAUUUCUGCCCUAUCAACUUUCGAUGGUAAGGUAUUGGCUUACCAUGGUCGCAACGGGUAACGGGGAAUAAGGGUUCGGUUCCGGAGAGGGAGCCUGAGAAAUGGCUACCACAUCCAAGGAAGGCAGCAGG
rnacentral:rRNA from 1 species